rnacentral:rRNA from 1 species
CCUACGGGGGGCAGCAGUGGGGGAUAUUGCACAAUGGGGGAAACCCUGAUGCAGCGACGCCGCGUGGGUGAAGAAGCGCCUCGGCGCGUAAAGCCCUGUCAGCAGGGAAGAAAAUGACGGUACCUGAAGAAGAAGCCCCGGCUAACUACGUGCCAGCAGCCGCGGUAAUACGUAGGGGGCAAGCGUUAUCCGGAUUUACUGGGUGUAAAGGGGGCGCAGACGGCGAGGCAAGCCAGGGGUGAAAGCCCGGGGCCCAACCCCGGGACUGCUCUUGGAACUGCGUGGCUAGAGUGCAGGAGGGGCAGGCGGAAUGCCUGGUGUAGCGGUGAAAUGCGUAGAUAUCAGGAGGAACACCGGUGGCGAAGGCGGCCUGCUGGACUGCAACUGACGUUGAGGCCCGAAAGCGUGGGGAGCAAACAGGAUUAGAUACCCGAGUAGUC